UCUCAACGAACUCUCAAUAUAUUCAAUAUUAUGUUUUACCCUAAACUUGUAGGCUUAAGCAAUAACGUAUGCAAGGCCUUUUUCGUCCACCAAAUAAUAAUAUAUGAGGCCUUAAGUUAUAGUUUUAUAAUGAGAGGCCCUAAGCUACAACUUGAGAGUCAGACAACGGUUUAAUAUUUUUACACUGUGGCCUCACUUUCUAAGAAUUUUAACCCAUUCUCUUGUAAAAAUAUCUCUUGUUUUUAAUCUUAUCCCUAUAAAAUUUCAUAUAAAUAUCUUCUUGUAUCCCAGAAUCGCGAAGAAUGUUAAAGACUUCAAACGUAAGUAAUUGUUUUGAGUAUAUUGUAGUACACACGUUUAAUAAUUACAGUACUAACUACACUUACUUGUCCUUCGCAGGAUGUAAUGUGUGCUCGCUUAGAAUAGCAAUAACGAAUGCAUACGGACCAUAUACAUGCUUGGAUUGCGCUGAUUUCUUUUACGAAAAUGUAUAUUACUUGAACCUACCACGUUGCAAAAAGAAUGCCAAGUGUCUUAUACAAGUAAAAAAUAGUUGCUCAGCCUGUAGAUUAAAUAAAUGUUACAAUGUUGAAAUGAAAUCGGAUUGUAUCUAUAGACUCGAAAUAUAUAAUAAUAUUCGCUUGUAUAGAUUAGGAAAAACUCGUAAAAACUCGAAAUUUUAUAAAUUUUUCACGAGAAGGAUUUAUUUCAAUUAUUCACGUGUCUAUAUGCUUUGUUUGUGACAAAUAUAAGUUUUAUCAAUGCUUUUAAAACGUUACCAGAUUCUAAUAAGAGUUUCUUACGGCGCGUAUGCAUGAAGAGAGGCGUUAUUAUGGAACUUGUUGAAAGAUGCUACAAUAUUCACGACGUUUUAAGAUUAGAAAAGUGUUUCAUUGAUCCUCACGUUUCGCGAAGUGAAUUUGUAAGAGAUUUUGGACGUGAAAUCUUGAAUUUUAUAAGAACUUUGAAAGAUCAUAUUCAUACUACUCUUGACUUUUAUCUUAUCAAAUUCAUUUUAAUAUUUGAUGAUUAUACUGAUUUAUCGAUACAUUCCUUUGAUCUUUUUCUUCAUAUAUUAUUAAGACAAGUCGACGUUUUGGAGAAACUUCUUUCUGAUUUUGAGUACGAGUUGGGAUAUAUUGGGGAUGAAGUUAGAUUCCAUCAUUUCACUAUGCAUUUCGUGAAUAGAAGAUUUACAGAUUACAUAAAUCGACAUUCUCCAGAGUUUUACUUCAUCCCAAACAAUUAAGAAGAAAAAAAAGCAGAGACAACUUUACGUUAAAGUUUUAAUUUUUUAAUAUUAUUUUACAAUUUACAUAACCCGUGUUUGAUGUUUCUUGUUCAAACUUAAGUUUCAAACAUCGCAUUUGUGUUGCAACAGUAAAAUAUCAUAUUCCAUGUGCAACGUCAAAACAUAUGACUUGGAUA